rnacentral:rRNA from 1 species
CCUACGGGUGGCUGCAGUGAGGAAUCUUCUGCAAUGGGCGAAAGCCUGACAGAGCAAUGCCGCGUGUGGGAUGAAGCGUCUAUGACGUGUAAACCACUGUCAGGGGGCGGAACCAAUGAUUGCCCCCAGAGGAAGAGCCGGCUAACCCUGUGCCAGCAGCCGCGGUAAUACAGGGGGCUCGAGCGUUACGCGGAAUCACUGGGCUUAAAGGGUGCGUAGGUGGCUUGCAAAGCAUUACGUGAAAGCCCCGGGCUCAACCCGGGAAUUGCGCGAUGUACUGGCAAGCUUGAGGUAUGUAGGGGUUGACGGAACAGUGGGUGGAGCGGUGAAAUGCGUAGAGAUCCACUGGAACGCCGAUGGUGAAGACGGUCAACUGGGCAUAUCCUGACACUGAGGCACGAAAGCGUGGGGAGCAAACAGGAUUAGAUACCCCAGUAGUC